rnacentral:sRNA from 2 species
UCGAAUCCUGCACGACCCACCAAUAUACAAGGUGGUAACUGGUAGAGAACGUGAAGGAUAACGUUGCUUUAGCAACGGCCCGAAGGGCGAGGCGAAGCCGAGUCAUCCUGCACGACCCACCA